rnacentral:rRNA from 1 species
GACGAACGCUGGCGGCGUGCUUAACACAUGCAAGUCGAACGGUGAUCCAUCAGCUUGCUGGUGGUGAUCAGUGGCGAACGGGCGAGUAACACGUGAGUAACCUGCCCCUGACUCUGGAAUAACCCCGGGAAACCGGGGCUAAUACCGGAUAUGACAUCAUCCCGCAUGGGUGUGGUGUGGAAAGUUUUUUCGGUUGGGGAUGGGCUCGCGGCCUAUCAGCUUGUUGGUGAGGUAGUGGCUCACCAAGGCGACGACGGGUAGCCGGCCUGAGAGGGCGACCGGCCACACUGGGACUGAGACACGGCCCAGACUCCUACGGGAGGCAGCAGUGGGGAAUAUUGCACAAUGGGCGGAAGCCUGAUGCAGCGACGCCGCGUGAGGGAUGACGGCCUUCGGGUUGUAAACCUCUUUCAGCUCUGAAGAAGCGAAAGUGACGGUAGGAGCAGAAGAAGCACCGGCUAACUACGUGCCAGCAGCCGCAGUAACAC